UUUAAUUUUGACCACUGAAGUCAUGAUAAUGCUUCAUCAUAUUUUAGAAAUAGGGCCCAUGUGCCUACAUAUGCCUUUUAUAUACCAAAUGUUUAUCAUUUUGAAAUUGUUUCAGUUGUUUAUGACUUGUGUAGGACUGAAAUUAUCUCUGCAUACUACAAAGCAAUGCAGCACUGCAUUGCUUUGUAAACGUAGGCUAUUCAACACACUUUAAAAACACACUGAAAAGAUACGGCCAUAGUAGCCUACUAAAAACAUUUUGUUCAUAAUAAUGGUGAUUAAUAAAUGGUGAUCUUAAAUUUUCAUACUGACAUCCUGAAAUUUGACUUGGUAGAUCACGGCAGACCAUCAACUUCAAAAGUAGAUCUCGGUUAAAAAAAAAGGUUGGGCACCCCUGGAUUAGAGUUUAGGCUACUUUAUUUAUGUAUGCUCACUUAACCAAGAAGCCUAAAUAAGGCAGUGGCCUGUUAAUUCAAAAUGACUAAUUUUAAAACAUUGAUUACCAUAGUGAAACAAAAUGUAACUGUAAAAACUGUGUGUAACAUUUGAUAAAUAUAAUCAAUUACUGAUAUUGUUUAUUACAGAAAUGUACCACGUGAUGCAGUAGCCUGUUGAUGCUGGCAAAAGAUGCAAUCUGGAGGAUUUCAGGGUACGUUUUACUAUGCUUCAAUGUUAGGUGAGAUGAAUGUAAUGCAGUGUUUCCCAACCAGGGGUACGUGUACCACUAGGAGUAUGUUUUAUUUUAUGAAUAAAAACAAAUGUAUGGUCAUGAUCAUAUUGGGAUAGAGAACAUGAGUGAGGUGGUACUCAUACUAUGACAAAAAUGCUUAGGGGGUACUCAAGACGAAAAAGGUUGGGAGACACUGAUGUAUGCCCAGAUCAUGUACGCCCAGAGCAAAGUCACAGGCAGUGUGCUUCUCUUGCAUUCACAGACUGCCCAUGCUUUUUUAAAGAGAUAAGUUAGAAUGCUUUGCAUAUCUAUUUGUGUAGAGUUAAUCACCAAGACAAUUUCCAGAAGUUGUAUCCAGGUGUCAAUUGUGUCCUUGUUCUGGUGUUGUUAUUUUCAAACAGAGAUGGCUCUUGCUCACUGGCAGUGACUUGGGUCAUGUGAGACAGCAUCAGAGCUCGGGUGACAUCUCUCGCUCGGGUGAAAUCUCUCCUGGAAGAUUUCAAGGUGUGUGCAGAGUUCUGAAGAAUAAAAGUCAACAGUCAAGUUCUUCUCCAUAUUCUCCAAAUCUGACGGAGGCGUUCCAUCAGGAAAGGGGGAAUGGUUGGUCGAUGCCUCCAGAAUAAUGAUACCCAUGACCCAGGCACAACAUGCUGACAGGGAAUCGGCUAUGGCAGAAAGCAUCCAUGCCAUCUACGUGAUCCGCCAUGAAGGUUCAGAAGCUACUGACAGUCCUGAGGACAUCGGAAUCAUUUUCAAAGGGGUGACUGCAUUUGGCUGCUUGCCAAACAUCCUACCCAGGCUCCGCCCUCGCAGUGACGCAACACCUUCGGCUCUGCUACACACACUCAGGAAAACUUUGUUCAGGUACUUUCAGGUUCCCUCCACAGCAGGAAACUCCACCCACUCUGUCGGGAAGCAAUCGACUUUCAGCAUCACCAACCGUCCUGGCUAGAGGCGUGUUCAAGGAAGUGACAAGGUUUGAGCAGAGACGCUCUAUUGGGACUAAGAAAAUGUUUGGUUUAAACUUUGGCUCAGCCUGUUCGGCCCUCGACCAGUAGCAAAUCAUGAGAGUUGGGUCAACCAUGCCGUUUGAGAAUGUUGUUAUGCUCUUGGUCAGACCAAGUCUCGAAGAGAUUUGUAAGUCAUGAUAAUCAGGUUACAAAUAUUCACUUACAGUGGCCAUAUUUCUUGCCCUUGUUUACGCACUAAACUUGUUAUCCUCCUUGAAAGUUGUGUGUGUGUGUGUGAGUAAUAAUGCAGACAUAAUAAUAACAAUUGACUAGAAGUACAAAUACACAUUUCUACAUUAUUGCUCACACACAGCUUUUGGUAAAACAUUACUGAAAUGGCCAAACACCUUUAUGCAUUUUUUAAUAAAGAGUCAUUGCAUUGAGCAGAUCAUUGAGAGGCUCUGAAGUCCACUACACUAUUCUUAACUUGUGUGCGUGCGUACCUCCUCAAGCACAUAUACAGCACUCUAUUUUUAACAUUUUUUAAAAAUGUUUUUCUUUUUCUUUUUGACUUAACAACCUGUUAAAAACACAGCGUUAAACUUUGGCUUUUUUCGCACACCUCAGCUGGCAGGUGCGUCGGAGAUGGCACCAUGGGUCACUCAGCAAUAGUUUAAAGAAACUCCCGCACACUGACCA